UACGAAGGGGCUAGCGUUGCUCGGAAUCACUGGGCGUAAAGCGCACGUAGGCGGAUUGCUAAGUCAGGGGUGAAAUCCUGGAGCUCAACUCCAGAACUGCCUUUGAUACUGGCGAUCUUGAGUCCGGGAGAGGUGAGUGGAACUGCGAGUGUAGAGGUGAAAUUCGUAGAUAUUCGCAAGAACACCAGUGGCGAAGGCGGCUCACUGGCCCGAUACUGACGCUGAGGCACGAAAGCGUGGGGAGCAAACAGG
rnacentral:rRNA from 1 species